GGACUCUCCAGCGGGUCUUAACAGUGCUUUUCAAAUAUUAAUGUAGAGAUUAGCAUGGCCCCUGCGCAAGGAUGACACGCAAAUUCGUGAAGCGUUCCAUAUUUUU
ensembl:snRNA U6 U6 spliceosomal RNA